GUCCAGCACACACAGGAGGGCCCUGUAGUGGGUUUAUGUGGCAAGGUUUUGGUAGCAGGGAGCCAUAGGGGUGGUUUCUGUGGGAAAGAUCUAGAAGCUGCCCCAUAUUUGGGAAGGGCCCCAUUGUUUUCCAGAACUGAGCCAAUAAGCGAUGUUGUUUUGCGCCUCUGUGAGAGCAUAUUUAAGACGGGAAAAAACGCUGCGCCACACAGCAGCUGGGAGAGUGAAAGGAGUGAGAAACAGCCUUGCAGGUGCCAAGCCCAUGGAGUACCACGGUGGAGCAGGGUUCCACGCUGCAGCCCGUGGAGGAGGCCACGGUGGAGCAGGUGGCCCUGCACCGAUGGAGGCUGCCGCCUGUGGAAGACCCCUGCCAGAGCAGAUUCCGGGCCGGACCUGUAGCCCGUGGAGAGGAGCCCACGCAGGAGCAGCGUGGAACCCUGCUCCACCGUGGUACUCCAUGGGCUGCAGGGGGACAUCCUGCUUCACCAUGGUCCUCACCACAGGCCGCAGGGGACUUCUGCUCCGGUGCCUGGAGCACUUUUCCCCCUCCUUCUUCACUGACCUUGGUGCCUGCAAGGCUGUUCCUCACUCCUCUCACUCUCCCAGCUGCUGUGUGGCGCAGAGUUUUUUUUUUCCUGUCUUAAAUAUGCUCUCACAGAGGCGCAAAACAAUAUCACUUAUUGGCUUGGCUCUGGAAAACAAUGGGGCCCUUCCCAAACAUGGGGCAGCUUCUAGAUCCUUCUCACAGAAACCACCCCUAUGGCCCCCUGCUACCAAAACCUUGCCACAUAAACCCACUACACCCCCCAAAAAGGUGUAAAACAGGGCACACAAAUAUUUUAGGAAAUGUAUGUAUGGGAUAAGAUGCAAUGUUUGCACUAUGUCUGAUCAGUUCUUUUAGCACGUACUGUUCAGUGGAGACUAUUUCAUCAAUCACUGUUCAACUACACACAUUUGUGACAAUGAUGAGAAAUUUAGAGUGACUCUGACUUGGUUCUCUUCUAAUUUGGUAUAAAUUUUUCUUCAGAGAAGCCAAUGACACCUUGUCCUAUUCUACAGUCUUUACAAAAAAAGGUGCUGUCCUGAAGUCUUAAAUGAAAAACCCUGUGCAGAGCUUUUUAAACUAGUUGUUAUGAGAAGGAGAACUGGCUGGUAGCAGCUAUCAGCUUUCAACUCAUCUACCCUGCAGGUUGCCUCGAACUCAGUAUAACAGGUAGAAUUACAUUCCUCUCAGAUUUCUAUCAGAUUAGAGGAAGAUGAUGCUCCCUCUCAAAACCACUUUCUGUCCUGGUAUCACUCGAGCGUAUGUGCUUCACCAAGCCCUCCUGAAACUGAAUCCUUAGAUGGCCUCCCUACAGAGAAAUCAUUAAGAAACUGGCUCUGUCUCUUCCUGUCUCUCAAGGCUCUCCUGGGUUUGCAAGUUUUGGUGGUUUUGUUGCUGUUGUUGUUGUUGUGUUGGUUUGGUUUGGUUACUUUCAUUGCUUCUUUUUGUUUGUUUGCUUGCUUGCUUGCUUGGUUUUGAUAUUUUGGCCUUGCUCCACAGUAGUGUUUCCUAGUCUUCAGCAGUAUUUGUAACUCCCUGGAAGACGUGCAUAUUUCAGAAACACUUUUUCUGUCAUUGUGAAUAUCUUGGAGGGGCAUAGUAGCUACCCAAUUUGUGUGAUACUGUCCUGUUCAAAUGCAGAGCAGGUGAUGCAAGCCUAUGCUGAUAAAACUGGAGAAUCUUUUCCAGCUGUUGUGUUAUUCUCAUAGAUUCCCUAAUAUGAUUCCCUAAUGUUCAUCUUCAAGUUCAUCUAUAAUGACUGCAGAAAUAAAUAAGUAUAUAUAUAUAAUUAUAUAUAUAUAUAUAUAUAGAAACUCAGGAGCAAGCUCAAUCUUGGUGCCUG
rnacentral:lncRNA from 1 species